rnacentral:lncRNA from 1 species
AUGGGUCUCCUUCCCCAGACUUCCAGGGGGAGAAGAAUAAGACAUCAAAGCGACUGGGCUGAAAAUGAGAAAAGCAUCUCGCACGGACACCUAAGGUGUAUUAACAGGGGAGAACGAAAGUCAGAGAUUUACACCUUCCUUCCAGGACCCUCUCCUCCAGAGUUCCCAACACUCCUACUUCAGUUUGGGGGGCCUGGGAGGGGAAAUAGGAAAAGAAAGUCUUCCCCAAAGAGCAGGCUCCUCAUACCUGUGCCCGGUGCCGUCCGGGCACACAGCCGAACUCGGGGGCAGGGAAGCGGGGGCCAGAGGAGGGCAGCUCCCGGGAAUGAAAGAGGGAAAAGCACCGGCCUCAGAGAGCCCGAGGCCAGGGGCUGUAUGGGAUCUCUGGCCUGGGGCCCCGGGGGCACGGAGGGGAGGGCAGACGGGCACUUGUUCUCCCAGGGGGUCGCUGCCCGCCCCUCGCCCCCACCCCCUUCUACUUCCUUUUCUCCUCGCCCACUCCCGACCCCGAGGGCCCUUCCUCUGUCACGGUGGGGACGGCGGUGGGGGCUCGGGCCCGGUGACACAGCUCGGGAUGGAUCCCCUCCCCCCGCGGGGGGGAAUGAGACCUGCAGACGCCCGUGCGGCGGGUGCUCCCUCCGCAUGCUCCCCCGGGCUCCGGCCCCGAAGCCUCUGCCCAGGCCGGCGGGAGGCGGCGGGCGCGGGGAGUGCGGGGGACGGCCCACGGCGGGGCGCGCGCAGACCGCGCGGGGAAACUUUGCAGGGGUCAGCGCGGGGAGCGGGCGGGCGGGGCCGGUACCUGGGUCCGGGGAUGCGCCGCGGGGGCCGCCGGGCGGCGGCUCGUCCUCCUCCGGCUGCGAGUCCGGGCGCGGCACGCUCCGGGGCCUCCCGGGCCCCCUCCCGCGGAGCCUCCGUCACGCCGCGCCGCCCGGAGCCCGGCGCCGGCCAGCGAGACUGCCGAGGCUCCGGCCGCGGCUGCGGCUCCGGCGGCUGCAAAACAGCAACCAGCCCCGCCCCCAGUUGCCUGGCCCGGCCCGGCCCGGGCGCUGGAGCCGGGUAACAGCCCCCCACGCGCGCGCGCGCGCCGCCGCCGCCGCCGCAGCCUCGCCAUUGGCCGGGCCGCACAGGGGGCCGUCCCCAUUGGCCGAGCCCAGGGGCGGGAGGCCGCCCCCGAAGCCCCCCGCCCCCCGCCUCCCUACCUGA